GACAGAGGGUGCAAACGUUGUUCGGAAUUACUGGGCGUAAAGCGCACGUAGGCGGACAUUUAAGUCAGGGGUGAAAUCCCAGAGCUCAACUCUGGAACUGCCUUUGAUACUGGGGAUCUUGAGUUCGGGAGAGGUGAGUGGAACUGCGAGUGUAGAGGUGAAAUUCGUAGAUAUUCGCAAGAACACCAGUGGCGAAGGCGGCUCACUGGCCCGAUACUGACGCUGAGGCACGAAAGCGUGGGGAGCAAACAGG
rnacentral:rRNA from 1 species